AUCCACUCCACUGGAGUUUCCUGAGUGAGCCCAUGACACGGCCUUGGUAUAACCACUUGCAGCAGUAGAAAAUAAGCCACUGACAUCUGUGAUACUGACUGCUUUGAUCUGAAAGUUUUAACCCCUUGCACCAUUUCUUUUGAGGACAGCAUCUUUCCUCGAUGGUCGCAAGCGCAUACCCGAAUAGUCACCGUUUCAGUGCUGCUCUGGAUAGGGUAGUCAUUGUCUGAUAUUACUACUGGCAAAAGACAAAAAUGAAAAUUAUUGGAAAUGCAGCUCAUUGUGCAGACCCUUUCUUUUCCUGUUGGACUACAAAGGAGACAGAUCUUCAUCAAAAAGGUACUCAAAGUGGGAAAGAAAGGCAAUGUGCAGCAACCUUGCCUGAGAGGCAUGAAGGAAGAAAGAGGCAAGACUCUGAGUCAAAAGGACACAUCAUAAUUACCAUCAGUUCCUAAGUUGUAUAAGACCCACCCCUGAGCAGAUUUGUCAUCACUAAUCAAGAGUAGACCAAGAGACAUUUCCAGACUUGAUCAGUGUCCCAUGUCCGCCAUGUGAUGCAGAAAUGAUCCAGGACAGCUCACCUAGGCAUACCCAUUGUAGUACUUGGGAGCGUGUGGGAGUGUGAGAAUGAAAUCAGGGAAUGAGUGGGACUGAAAUGACAUUUAUUUAAAAUAAAUCCCCACCUCCUCCCAUUCAUGAGGACUCGCUCUGUAUUUUGCUACAUUAAUUUCCAACCCAUAUAAAUAUAGUUUAUUAAUACAUUUUAAUCUAUGAUCCAAGUAAAAAAAAAAAAAAACGGGAAUAAAAUAUAGAUCUAUGAGUUUGCAAGCUUCUACAGGCAUUCAUUAUAGUAGCUUGUUGAGUUAAGCUUUAAUAAAAGCCCUAUUACUGUAUUUAUCAAACUUUUAUAAAUUUGAAAAUGCAUUCUCCAAAAUUGGCACCGUAUAUUCGUAUUACAGAGUUCAGUCAUUUGGACAAAAUACUGCACUUUAAAGCUCCGCAGUCCCAUUCGAGUUAAUAUGAUUCCAUUAGGCAUAAAACACUUCCUAAUAUAAACCACAGGGCUAAAUUCAUUCAACGUGUAAAAUAUCUAUGUACAAUAUAUACUAGGCUGAAUUUUAUACUAAAAUACAUCAAUAUAAAUGUUGAAUUUUUAUAAUAGGCAGAAAUCAAAUUACUCAUUUGAAUUUGCAGGGCUACUUGCAAGACUAUUUAUAAGGGCAUACCUUUCUAAAAUAUGCAUUCAACUAUAUUGCCAAAUGUGUUUCUUUUGCUCCCCAAAAUUACAAUUGUUUUCUUUCCUGCUUUUUGAACUAUUAACUGCAUAUUUUCAUUUUACUUCAAAGUGCUUAAGAUCCUCACAAUUUAAAAUGAGAGUAUAAUAAAUAGAAGCCAUAUAAAAACCAAUAUAUUCUAUGGAUGGGGGCCUUUUUCUGAUUUUAUGAAAAUGAGUUGAAAUAUGUUUAUACAUCAUAAAGACCUUUUUGUCUUCUUUCAAAUUAUUUUUGCAAAUGAAUUGGGAUUUUUUGUUUGUUCGUUGCGUUAUCCUUUAAUUACUAAUGAGCUCCAUCUCCAAAGAAAAAGUUCCAUCAUAUGAAACAGACAUAUCUGCUUAAAAUCUCUACAGUAGUAUGUCUUAUGCUUACCUAUCAACUGCUAAACAUUUUUUUCUGAAUGCUACUCCAAUGUCCUGACAAUGUUGAUUUACCUUUAAGUAUUAAGUAAAGGAUAUUUAUUUUAAA